CCUACGGGAGGCAGCAGUAGGGAAUAUUGCUCAAUGGGGGAAACCCUGAAGCAGCAACGCCGCGUGGAGGAUGAAGGUUUUCGGAUUGUAAACUCCUUUUGUUAGAGAAGAUAAUGACGUUAUCUAACGAAUAAGCACCGGCUAACUCCGUGCCAGCAGCCGCGGUAAUACGGAGGGUGCAAGCGUUACUCGGAAUCACUGGGCGGAAAGAGCGCGUAGGCGGGAUAGCAAGUCAGAUGUGAAAUCCUAUGGCUUAACCAUAGAACUGCAUUUGAAAAUGUUAUUCUAGAGUAUGGGAGAGGUAGGUGGAAUUCUUGGUGGAGGGGUAAAAUCCGUAGAGAUCAAGAGGAAUACUCAUUGCGAAGGCGACCUGCUAGAACAUAACUGACGCUGAUGCGCGAAAGCGUGGGGAGCAAACAGGAUUAGAUACCCGAGUAGUC
rnacentral:rRNA from 1 species